CUCUGCCCUGUGCUCUCAGCACAGGCUUGAUGUGCAGGUUUUACCGUGGACCUGCAGGUCCAGGCCCAGCCCUUCCCCACGUGCACACACACACAGAUGUUUACCCAUAUAUGAUCAUUUCAGAGAACAACCAAAUUCCCUCUAAGCCAGGAAACUCCACAACCAGAAAACACAGCAGUCACCUCUCAGACUUGGGGAUGCAAUUGAAAAACUGAUUAUCGUGUGGAGGCAAGGAAACUGUCAUACCCAGCUCUACAAGAAACUAAAAUAUUACACUGACUUGAUAAGAAAAAAUACCCUGUUUUCCAAUAAAUUAUACUUUUGAAGGAAGAUGAUAAAAUAAUAUUAGAGAAAGAAGGGGAAAACAAUCUUACAAAUUACCAAAAUAGGAUUUAGCUCUUCAGAUUCCUUAAUUAG